GAUGAACGCUGACAGAAUGCUUAACACAUGCAAGUCUACCAAGAAUCACUUCGGUGAGGAAUGGUGGCGGACGGGUGAGUAACGCGUAAAUAAUCUGCCCUUUAGACUGGGAUAUCCUUUGGAAACGAAGGUUAAUACCGGAUAUUAUGAGAUGGACGCAUGUUCAACUUAUGAAAGCUAAAUGCACUAGAGGAGGAGUUUGCGUCCCAUUAGCUAGUUGGUGAGGUAAAGGCUCACCAAGGCCACGAUGGGUAGCCGGCCUGAGAGGGUGAACGGCCACAAGGGAACUGAGACACGGUCCUUACUCCGACGGGAGGCAGCAGUGGGGAAUAUUGGACAAUGGACCAAAAGUCUGAUCCAGCAAUUCUGUGUGCACGAUGAAGGUCUUCGGAUUGUAAAGUGCUUUCAGUAGGGAAGAAAAAAAUGACGGUACCUACAGAAGAAGCGACGGCUAAAUAUGUGCCAGCAGCCGCAGUAAAAC
rnacentral:rRNA from 1 species